rnacentral:rRNA from 1 species
GGAAUUACUGGGCGUAAAGCGCGUGUAGGCGGUUGCGUAAGUCGGACGUGAAAGCUCCUGGCUCAACUGGGAGAGGCCGUUCGAAACUAGGUAACUAGAGGGUGGUAGAGGCAAGUGGAAUUCCCGGUGUAGUGGUGAAAUGCGUAGAUAUCGGGAGGAACACCAGUGGCGAAGGCGGCUUGCUGGGCCAACCCUGACGCUGAGAUGCGAAAGCUAGGGGAGAGAACGGGAUUAGAAACCCCGGUAUUCCUAGCCGUAAACGAUGUCAACUAGGUGUAGGUGGUUAUUGACCCCAUCUGUACUGUAGCAAACGCGUUAAGUUGACCGCCUGGGGAAUACGGCCGCAAGGCUAAAACUCAAAGGAAUUGACGGGGACCCGCACAAGCAGCGGAGCGUGUGGUUUAAUUCGAGGCUACGCGAAGAACCUUACCAGGGUUUGACAUAUGCGUGGUAGGGAGUCGAAAGAGGACCGACCCUUCGGGGAGCGCAUACAGGUGCUGCAUGGCUGUCGUCAGCUCGUGCCGUGAGGUGUUAGGUUAAGUCCUGUAACGAGCGCAACCCUCGUCGUUAGUUACAAGUGUCUAGCGAGACUGCCGGUGAUAAGCCGGAGGAAGGUGGGGAUGACGUCAAGUCAGCAUGGCCUUUAUAUCCUGGGCUACACACACGCUACAAUGGCCGGUACAAUGGGCAGCCAAGCCGUGAGGCGGAGCCAAUCCCGCAAAGCCGGUCUCAGUUCGGAUUGUAGGCUGCAACUCGCCUGCAGAAGUCGGAGUUG